UACGUAGGGGGCUAGCGUUGUCCGGAAUCAUUGGGCGUAAAGCGCGCGUAGGCGGCCAGAUAAGUCCGGUGUGAAAGUCACAGGCUCAACCUGUGAAUGCCGCUGGAAACUGUCUGGCUUGAGUCCGGAAGGGGCGAGUGGAAUUCCUGGUGUAGCGGUGAAAUGCGCAGAUAUCGGGAAGAACACCGGUGGCGAAGGCGGCUCUCUGGGCCUGUCCUGACGCUCAGGCGCGAAAGCUAGGGGAGCGAACGAGG
rnacentral:rRNA from 1 species